rnacentral:rRNA from 1 species
UACUUGGUGGCGACCGGCGCACGGGUGCGUAACGCGUAUGCAACCUACCUUUAACAGGGGCAUAACACUGAGAAAUUGGUACUAAUUCCCCAUAACAUUCGAGAAGGCAUCUUCUUGGGUUAAAAACUCCGGUGGUUAAAGAUGGGCAUGCGUUGUAUUAGCUAGUUGGUGAGGUAACGGCUCACCAAGGCAACGAUACAUAGGGGGACUGAGAGGUUAACCCCCCACAUUGGUACUGAGACACGGACCAA